GAUCGGAGAAGAAACAUAACUUUCACAUGUGUAGGACUGGGACUAGCGCAUGCGCGUCGGUUCCAAGAUGGCGGAAUACGUUCAGAACUGAAAACCCGUUGUUGUAUUAGCAACUGUUACAUACUUUAUUGUAUAGCGUUAUAACUGUUACAUUGGUGGCGGCCAAGAUGGGGUUGAGGACUGUUUUGCCCGACAGUCCUCGUGUGGACGAGAAGAUAUUAGGGAAUUCCUACGGGAUUUCGAGAUUCAUGCUCGCUAAAUGAAUGGCAAGACGAGAAGGCAGGGCAGUAUUUAGCCGUUUAUCUGAAAGACGAAGCGAAAGCAUGAGCAGGAGGAUUCAGUUAGAAGAAGUUACCGGGCCUUGUAUAAAGCAUUGAAGGACAGAUUUGAAGGAGGGCUAGCAAUACUAAAAUACAAAAAGGAAUUUGUCGAGCGAAUUAGAGCUGAAGGGGAGCCCUCCACUCGUAUUUAUCUGCUCUACGACUCGCUUACUCAAGGGCUCAUGUCCCACCUGUAGUUGAAACGCUACCAGAAGACCCGACUGAUGCAAAAAGGGACAGGCACUCCCGACAGAAAGCAGCUUUUGAUUAUUAUAACACCAGAGCUAAGGAGGACGUUCUGUGUCAAUUUAUCAACGGGCUAAAUUCCAAGCUGAGGGAGAUACUGGUCCGUCAGGACGAUUUGUUAAAAAAACCCCAUAGAAGAAGUAAUAAAAAGGAUUGCUAAUCUGGAAGAGGAGCGAAGAGCAGGUAACCGACAGCAAGUACGGGGUGCUAUUCAAGAGGGGGUUAAUGACCUAGUUGACAAACUAGGGAGGAAAAAACGCUUUCCAAAGGAAAAGUCCAAGGCCCACGGAUUUAUGCAGAAAGUGCAAAGGAAAGGGACAUUGGGCUAGAGACUGCCCAUCCGUAACAGGGAAUAACUUAAACGAGAACAAGGCUGGCGGAACACCCCGACACCAGCCUUGAAAACACAAAAGGAGGUCAACACAGUGCAGACAGGGUGUCGACGACACUCAUACAAAGUUGAGGCAAAGGUGAACCAAGUGAAGUGCACCUUUUUGAUCGACACAGGCGCAGAGCCAGGUACAACUCCAGUGAAGCAACAGCUGCGCAGAAUACCCUUUGCAUACAGGGAAGAAGUAAAGACAUACCUAAAGGCUAUGCUGGAGGACGGUGUUAUUGAGAAGUCAUCAUCAGAAUGGGCAAGUCCACUAGUCAUUGUUCGAAAACCAUCCGAGGGGCUUAGAAUAUGCGUAGAUUACAGAAAGCUCAACGAAGGUACGCGGGUUACCAGCUACCCCUUGCCCAACAUCACCGAGUCCUUAGACCGUCUGGCCGACACAUCUUACUUCAUAACGAUCGAUAUGGUGUCGGGUAUCACCAGGUUGAAGUUGCACUCGAGAACAGAGCUAAGACAGCUUUUACAACCCCGUUUGGAUUGUACCAGUACUGUCGCAUGCCCUUUGGUCUGGCAGGGGCACCUGGAACGUUCCAAUCAGUAGUAGAGGAUAUGUUGCAAGUCCUAGAUGCAGAUGAUAUGAUUGCCUACUUAGACGACGUCUCUGUUUCCACUCUAGCUUUGAAGAACAUCCAAGAGGGAUAGAAAGGGCAUCUGGUUUUAAGCUGUUGGGUAAGAAGUGCCAGUUCGCAACAAGACCAGUGAAGUUUCUGGGUCAUGUUAUUGACCUGAACGGUGGUGUCAGGCCUCAACCAGAGAAGUUAGAUAUCACCCGUCAGUGGGAGACCCUAACCAACGAAGAAGAGCUGCGGAAGUUCAUCGGUGUGUGUACAUUCUGGAGACGCUUUGUUAAAGGCUUUUCAGAGGUUGCUGCCCCACUUCAUGAUCUGCUCAAUAAGCAGGAUUUCUGCCGGUCCCCAGAAUGUGAUCAGGCCUUUAUUGAGCUUGAAUCAGCUGUUGUGUACGUCAGUCACACUGUCUCUACCAUCGUAACAUGGACGGUUCGCAGUGACGUGUGAUGCCUCUAACCGGGCCAUCGGAUACUAUCUAGAGCAGACAGACAGAGAGGGAGUGAAGCGACAGGUGGCGUUCGGAGGAAGAAAGCUAAACAAAGCUGAAUGCAACUACUCUGCCACAGAGAAAGAAUGCCUUGCGGUUAUCCAGGCCCUGAAAGCUUAUCGCCCAUACAAGCAAAGAGUUUGAUCUCUACACUGAUCACCAGUCCCUGAAGUGGCUCUUGACUAGGACACAAGAACAUAAUGGCCGGCUAUGGAGAUGGGUGGAUAAGUUCGGAGAGUUUCAGUGCAAGUGCACCACAUUCCUGGCUCGAAGAACACGGUUGCAGAUGCAUUGAGUAGAAUUCAGAAUGUAACCACUAGUGAUGUUGCAGAGUGGUCGAUGGAGUACAUAGUUGAAGCUGUGGUUAUUACACAAGCCACCGGCUCAACAGGACGUGCAAGGAAAGGAGCUCCGAGCAUUCUACAAGGAAAUUCCUAACCUAACUCUGGGUGAGGAUGGUGUGCUUCGACACGAAAGAAAACAGAAUGGAGGUGUUACCCAAGUCGUGAUUCCAUCUACUCUGACGAAAAGGGUGUUGCAAAUGCUACAUGAUGAUGCAGGGCACCUUGGAAGCACUAAGACGCUUUAAAGGAUCCGAGACAGAUUCUUCUGGCCGUGUAUGGCAACGGACGUGGAAAAUUGGUGUAGAAAUUGUCUAGUCUGUCAGCAGAGACGAAAUCCCGUUCCGGAAUACAAGGCUCCGUUAAGACCAAUUGUGACAUCUCGGCCAGAAGAAUUGGUGACAAUGGAUGUGGUUGAAUAUACCAAAAGCAGCCGCGGAGGUCAGUACUGUCUUGUCAUGGUCGAUCAUUUCACGAAGUGGCUGUUUCCUUCAAGAAACCAGAAGUCUGAGACCAUUGCCAAGAGAAUAACAGAUGGCUGGAUUCCAAGACACGGAGCACCCGAACAACUGCAUAGUGACCAGGGAGCUAAUCUGAACAUCGAGGAGAUUUGUCAGUAUUUGGAGGUGUUGAAGACAAGGACGAAACCAUUUCAUCCUCAGUCGGAUGGUGCUUCAGAAAGAAGUGUACGAACCGUUAACGCAAUGUUGGCCAAAGUAGUGAGUGACGAUCAAAAGAACUGGGAUCUCUACCUGUUUGGCAUACAACACAGCAGUUCACAAUAGCACUGGACAUAUUCCUAGCUACCUGGAGUUUGGACCAGAGUUGCGCCUUCCAACUGACUUAGUUGACACCUCUUUUAUGCCAGAAGUGCGGCUGGAACAUGCAGGGUUUGCGUUGCAACUAAAGAGCCGUCUCCAGAAAGUGGCUAGGGACACUCUUCAACUGUCUCAUCAGUCUCAGAAGAGCUAUUAUGAUCGCUGGGCAAAAGAGAAGAUCUUCAAGAAAGGUGAUCAGGUUUUGUGGUUUGACAAGAAAACGAGAAGAGGGAGGUGUAUGAAGCUAAACCGACCGUGGAGUGGACCCUGGAUAGUGGUAAAACGGCUGAAUGAAGUUGUGUAUCGGAUAAAGUAUUGUGGUCAGGGUAAACAUGUUGGACUGAAGACACGUGUAGUACACCACAAUCAGCUUAAGCCAUUCUUGGGGAGUCUUGACACAUCUGAAGUCCAGGUGGCCUCAAAGCCACAGGCCCAUAACGAACAUCAGACCCCACUGUCGAACAACUCUGACCGGAACCUUACAGUGAUAGAAGAAGAUGAGUCGGUUAACUGGGAUGAAGCAGAGGUGACUGACGAGCCACAGGAAGAUGAACCAGAGUAUGAUGAACCAGCUCCUAGGAGACCUCAGCGUGUUCGUCAUCCCCCGAUUUGGAUGAGAGAUUACAACACUGAGGGAUAAAAUAUGGGGACAUAUUUCUAGAUAGGAAGGGGACAGUGUAGGACUGGGACUAGCGCAUGCGCGUCGGUUCCAAGAUGGCGGAAUACGUUCAGAACUGAAAACCCGUUGUUGUUUUAGCAGCUGUUACAUACUUUAUUGUAUAGCGUUAUAACUGUUACACAUGUGUGUCUUUCAACUAGCUAGAUAAUCGGAGCACGGACACUCUGAGAGGGGUGAUUCUGCUUUUCUUUCCUUGUUCGAUUUGAAAUUUGU